UACGUAGGGUGCAAGCGUUGUCCGGAAUUAUUGGGCGUAAAGGGCUCGUAGGCGGCCAACUAAGUCGGAUGUGAAAUCCCCAGGCUCAACCUGGGAACUGCAUCCGAUACUGGAUGGCUUGAAUUCGGGAGAGGGAUGCAGAAUUCCAGGUGUAGCGGUGAAAUGCGUAGAUAUCUGGAGGAAUACCGGUGGCGAAGGCGGCAUCCUGGACCGACAUUGACGCUGAACGGCGAAAGCUAGGGGAGCAAACGGG
rnacentral:rRNA from 1 species